AAGUUGGGGGACUGGACUUCGGGAGCCCUAGGGGCACGUAGUGGGUGGCAUAGGCUGGAGCAGGUGCCUGUGGGUGGGGGGACAGAGGACUCAGCUAGAUGACUGCACUGCGGGGUCUCUGAGCCGGUCUGAGUUCGCGGAGUCCUGGGGCCCCGUGGUGCGUUGGUUAGCGAUCACCGGGUGUGUGAGGCUCAAGGGGAGCGUCCAGGCCCCACGGGGGUGGCGAAAGGGACGCUUUCUUGAUUGCCCCACACACCCCCAGGGUUCCCUUUUCAACGGGAAGACCCAGGAGACCCUAGCCUAUCGGGCCGGGUUCUUGGGGGGAGGGGUGGCGGUCGCCCCUUCCCCCACCCCGGUUAAUUCCGGCCUCAGCUGCCUCUUCCGCCCUGGCGGUCCUGAUAACAGUGGACGUGGUGGGGCGGGGCCACCCGAUCUCUUCUCCCCACUCCCUCCUCUGGCCAGUGCAAUCGGGGCUCAACCUCCCAGCACUCUAGCUAUAAAAGAAGACCUACCUACCAUAGGGCUUAAUGGGGCGAUGGGAAAAACCAGUGAUCACAUUUUACAGAUGAGGAAACUGAGCCUGGAAGUCGGUAGGGUACCUAUAGCCAGAAAUAAUGAGUGGAGUAAUUCGGAGUGUCAAGAAGGAUGGGGAGUGGAAGAGCUCCCUGAGGAGGCUGCUGGUCCACAGGAAUGGAGUCAGGUGCUCAUCAUGGACCACCCCAGCAUGCGUAUCUUGUCUUCCUGCUGCAAAAUGUCAGAUAUCCUGGCUGAGGGCAUCACUAUUGUUGAAGACAUCAACAAACGGCGAGAGCCCAUCCCCAGCCUGGAGGCCAUUUAUUUGCUGAGUCCCACGGAGAAGUCAGUUCAGGCCCUAAUUGCAGACUUCCAGGGGACGCUGACUUUCACCUACAAAGCUGCGCAUGUCUUCUUCACUGACACCUGCCCUGAUUCCCUGUUCAGUGAGCUGAGCCGCUCUCGUCUGGCAAAGGUGGUGAAGACACUGAAAGAGAUUCACCUUGCUUUCCUCCCCUAUGAGGCCCAGGUGUUUUCCCUGGAUGCCCCCCACAGCACCUACAACCUUUACUGCCCCUUCCGGGCAGGAGAGCGGGCACAGCAGCUUGAGGUGCUGGCUCAGCAGAUCGCUACAUUGUGCGCCACACUGCAGGAGUACCCAGCUAUCCGCUACCGCAAGGGCCCAGAGGACACAGCCCAGCUGGCCCACUCAGUCUUGGCCAAGCUGAACGCCUUCAAAGCCGACAUUCCCAGUCUGGGCGAGGGCCCUGAGAAAACCCGUUCCCAGCUGCUGAUCAUAGACCGGGCAGCCGACCCUGUGUCCCCACUACUGCAUGAGCUCACAUUCCAGGCCAUGGCCUAUGACCUGCUGGACAUCGAGCAGGACACAUACAGGUACGAGACCACUGGGCUGAGCGAGGCGCGAGAGAAGGCUGUGCUGUUGGACGAGGACGAUGACCUGUGGGUGGAGCUCCGGCACAUGCACAUUGCAGAUGUGUCCAAGAGGGUCACGGAGCUCCUGAAGACCUUCUGCGAGAGCAAGAGGCUGACUACAGACAAGGCCAACAUCAAAGACUUGUCCCACAUCCUGAAAAAGAUGCCCCAGUACCAGAAGGAGCUGAACAAGUAUUCUACCCACCUGCACUUAGCAGAUGACUGCAUGAAGCACUUCAAGGGCUCUGUGGAGAAGCUGUGCGGUGUAGAACAGCGGCAGACUAGACAGCUGACCCCAUGCUCACAGGACCUGGCCCUGGGUGCUGACGCAGAGGGUGAGAAAAUCAAGGACGCCAUGAAGCUGAUUGUGCCGGUGUUGCUGGACGCAGCAGUGCCAGCCUAUGACAAGAUCCGGGUCCUGUUACUCUACAUCAUCCUACGAAAUGGUGUGACUGAGGAGAACUUGGCCAAGCUGAUCCAGCAUGCCAACGUCCAGGCACACAGCAGCCUCAUCCGAAACCUGGAGCAGCUGGGGGGCACUGUCACCAAUCCUGGGGGCUCAGGGACUUCCAGCCGCCUGGAGCGAAGGGAGCGCACAGACCCGACCUAUCAGCUGUCACGCUGGACACCCGUCAUCAAGGAUGUGAUGGAGGAGUCCUCCCCUGCAGCCCCUGACCUUCUGAGGACCUCAAAAUGGCAGCAUCAGAUGGAAACGCCUAGGGCUUAGCUUCCAGUCUGUCCUUGAUUCCUGGCACCUCCUCCACCCUGUGGGCCUUGGAUGCCUGCGUUCUUAGGGCCCUGAGGGGCUAGAACUCAGACUCUGGGGUCCAUUAGGGGCUAGGUGUCCACACUACUGGUUCCUCAGGGGGCAGAGGGUUCAGAUGGUAGUUCCUGUCUGCCAGGAACUGGGCCCUUGAACACCCUCAUGGAGGGGACUCUAGAUCCUGGGCCCCAUGGCUUGGGGCUCCUCCCCUAAACCUCCUUCUCUGGCCCCAGGAUGCUGUAGAGGACCGGCUGAACAGAAAGCUGUGGCCCUUUGUGUCUGACCCUGCCCCUAUACCCAGCUCCCAGGCUGCUGUCAGCGCUCGCUUUGGCCACUGGCAUAAGAACAAGGCCACUGUUGAGACCCGGGCGGGGCCCCGCCU